rnacentral:rRNA from 1 species
AGAGUUUGAUCCUGGCUCAGGAUGAACGCUGGCGGCGUGCUUAACACAUGCAAGUCGAACGGGAAAUACUUCAUUGAGACUUCGGUGGAUUUGAUCUAUUUCUAGUGGCGGACGGGUGAGUAACGCGUGGGUAACCUGCCUUAUACAGGGGGAUAACAGUCAGAAAUGGCUGCUAAUACCGCAUAAGCGCACAGAGCUGCAUGGCUCAGUGUGAAAAACUCCGGUGGUAUAAGAUGGACCCGCGUUGGAUUAGCUGGUUGGUGGGGUAACGGCCCACCAAGGCGACGAUCCAUAGCCGGCCUGAGAGGGUGAACGGCCACAUUGGGACUGAGACACGGCCCAGACUCCUACGGGAGGCAGCAGUGGGGAAUAUUGCACAAUGGGGGAAACCCUGAUGCAGCGACGCCGCGUGAAGGAAGAAGUAUCUCGGUAUGUAAACUUCUAUCAGCAGGGAAGACAGUGACGGUACCUGACUAAGAAGCCCCGGCUAACUACGUGCCAGCAGCCGCGGUAAUACGUAGGGGGCAAGCGUUAUCCGGAUUUACUGGGUGUAAAGGGAGCGUAGACGGUGUGGCAAGUCUGAUGUGAAAGGCAUGGGCUCAACCUGUGGACUGCAUUGGAAACUGUCAUACUUGAGUGCCGGAGGGGUAAGCGGAAUUCCUAGUGUAGCGGUGAAAUGCGUAGAUAUUAGGAGGAACACCAGUGGCGAAGGCGGCUUACUGGACGGUAACUGACGUUGAGGCUCGAAAGCGUGGGGAGCAAACAGGAUUAGAUACCCUGGUAGUCCACGCAGUAAACGAUGAUCACUAGCUGUUUGCGAUACACUGUAAGCGGCACAGCGAAAGCGUUAAGUGAUCCACCUGGGGAGUACGCCGGCAACGGUGAAACUCAAAGGAAUUGACGGGGGCCCGCACAAGCGGAGGAACAUGUGGUUUAAUUCGAUGAUACGCGAGGAACCUUACCCGGGUUUGAACGCAUUCGGACCGAGGUGGAAACACCUUUUCUAGCAAUAGCCGUUUGCGAGGUGCUGCAUGGUUGUCGUCAGCUCGUGCCGUGAGGUGUCGGCUUAAGUGCCAUAACGAGCGCAACCCUUGCCACUAGUUACUAACAGGUAAAGCUGAGGACUCUGGUGGGACUGCCAGCGUAAGCUGCGAGGAAGGCGGGGAUGACGUCAAAUCAGCACGGCCCUUACAUCCGGGGCGACACACGUGUUACAAUGGCGUGGACAAAGGGAGGCCACCUGGCGACAGGGAGCGAAUCCCCAAACCACGUCUCAGUUCGGAUCGGAGUCUGCAACCCGACUCCGUGAAGCUGGAUUCGCUAGUAAUCGCGCAUCAGCCAUGGCGCGGUGAAUACGUUCCCGGGCCUUGCACACACCGCCCGUCA